CCAGACUCCUACGGGAGGCAGCAGUGGGGAAUAUUGCACAAUGGGGGAAACCCUGAUGCAGCGACGCCGCGUGAGCGAUGAAGUAUUUCGGUAUGUAAAGCUCUAUCAGCAGGGAAGAAAAUGACGGUACCUGACUAAGAAGCCCCGGCUAACUACGUGCCAGCAGCCGCGGUAAUACGUAGGGGGCAAGCGUUAUCCGGAUUUACUGGGUGUAAAGGGGGCGUAGACGGCGGUGCAAGCCAGAUGUGAAAGCCCGGGGCUCAACCCCGGGACUGCAUUUGGAACUAUGCUGCUAGAGUGUCGGAGAGGCAGGCGGAAUUCCUAGUGUAGCGGUGAAAUGCGUAGAUAUUAGGAGGAACACCAGUGGCGAAGGCGGCCUGCUGGACGAUGACUGACGUUGCGGCUCGAAAGCGUGGGUAUCGAACAGGAUUAGAUACCCUCGUA
rnacentral:rRNA from 1 species